AUCGGCAUUGCUGAUGAGCGCUGGAAGCAUCUGUCGCUCGCAAUUGCCGCAAUCGCUUUCUGCUUUUGACCACGGAUGUACUGGCACUGGUACGAGUAGCGAUGUGAGGAAGGUCGGUGCGGUCUCGCUCCGGCCUUUUUUGUU
rnacentral:sRNA from 2 species